UGAGGAAUAUUGCGCAAUAGGCGAAAGCCUGACGCAGCAACGCCGCGUGGAUGAUGAAGGCCUUCGGGUUGUAAAAUCCUUUUCUGGGGGAAGAACAGGACGGUACCCCAGGAAUAAGUGUCGGCUAACUACGUGCCAGCAGCCGCGGUAAAACGUAGGACGCAAGCGUUAUCCGGAUUUACUGGGCGUAAAGCGCGUGCAGGCGGUCCGUUAAGUCGUGCGUGAAAGCUCCCUGGCUCAACCGGGAGAGGCCGUACGAAACUGACAGACUUGAGGGCAGCAGAGGAGUGUGGAAUUCCGGGUGUAGUGGUGAAAUGCGUAGAUAUCCGGAGGAACACCAGUGGCGAAGGCGGCACUCUGGGCUGUACCUGACGCUAAGACGCGAAAGCAUGGGUAGCGAACGG
rnacentral:rRNA from 1 species